rnacentral:piRNA from 1 species
CUUUUCUGAUGCCUGCAUCCCUU